rnacentral:lncRNA from 1 species
GGCAGGGCGUGGGGGGAUGGGCGGGUCAUGGAGCUUUCAAAAAGGAGAUAUCGAAGAAUUAUCUUGUAAGGAGACACUAACAGGAAGAAGAGCUGCAAACAACGCUGAGAGAGUGAAGCGCAAGAAGAGAGAGUAGUUACUAGGAAUAAUUUACAAAGAGACUGAUAAUAACCAUUAAUAAGAUCGAACAAAUGUCACAGUAUACUGUGAUCAAAGCUGCAGAACGGUGGGCUCCCUCAGAAUGGCUGCCAAGGGAUCAGCAGGCUUCCUAUUGCUAAACGGUACCGAGGGCUAUAAACAGUGGAUUUGCGGCUGGACAGACUGUUGGAGAUUCAAGGUUAGGGCUCCACCUCAUCACACCCACGCUACCUCAGAAGAUGUGAUUUUGUGUCAAGGUGACAAGGGUCUGACGUGUGGUGGCUA